rnacentral:rRNA from 1 species
AACGUAGGUGGCUAACGUUAUCCGGAUUUACUGGGCGUAAAGAGUGCGUAGGCGGCCAUGUAAGUCAGAUGUAAAAUCUCCUGGCUCAACUGGGAGGGACCAUCUGAUACUGCGUGGCUAGAGUACAACAGAGGAAAGUGGAAUUCCCGGUGUAGUGGUGGAAUGCGUAGAUAUCGGGAGGAACACCUGUGGCGAAAGCGGCUUUCUGGGUUGUUACUGACGCUGUUGCACGAAAGCGUGGGGAGCAAACAGG